GACGAACGCUGGCGGCGUGCUUAACACAUGCAAGUCGAACGGAAAGGCCCUGCUUUUGUGGGGUGCUCGAGUGGCGAACGGGUGAGUAACACGUGAGUAACCUGCCCUUGACUUUGUGAUAACUUCAGGAAACUGGGGCUAAUACCGGAUAGGAGCUCCUGCUGCAUGGUGGGGGUUGGAAAGUUUCGGCGGUUGGGGAUGGACUCGCGGCUUAUCAGCUUGUUGGUGGGGUAGUGGCUUACCAAGGCUUUGACGGGUAGCCGGCCUGAGAGGGUGACCGGCCACAUUGGGACUGAGAUACGGCCCAGACUCCUACGGGAGGCAGCAGUGGGGAAUAUUGCACAAUGGGCGGAAGCCUGAUGCAGCAACGCCGCGUGCGGGAUGACGGCAUUCGGGUUGUAAACCGCUUUCGCCUGUGACGAAGCGUGAGUGACGGUAAUGGGUAAAGAAGCACCGGCUAACUACGUG
rnacentral:rRNA from 1 species